GACGAACCGUGCGAACGUUGUUCGGAAUCACUGGGCAUAAAGGGCGCGUAGGCGGCCUUCUAAGUCGAACGUGAAAUCCCCGGGCUCAACCCGGGAACUGCGUCCGAGACUGGAAGGCUCGAAUCCGGGAGAGGGAUGUGGAAUUCCAGGUGUAGCGGUGAAAUGCGUAGAUAUCUGGAGGAACACCGGUGGCGAAGGCGGCGAUCCUGGACCGACACUGACGCUGAGGAGCGAAAGCCAGGGGAGCAAACGGG
rnacentral:rRNA from 1 species